GUGCCAGCAGCGGCGGUAAUACGGAGGAUCCGAGCGUUAUCCGGAUUUAUUGGGUUUAAAGGGUGCGUAGGCGGCGCGCUAAGUCAGUGGUGAAAGACGGUGGCUCAACCAUCGCAGUGCCGUUGAUACUGGUGCGCUUGAAUGCGGAUGAGGUAGGCGGAAUGUGGCAAGUAGCGGUGAAAUGCAUAGAUAUGCCACAGAACACCGAUUGCGAAGGCAGCUUACCAAGGCGCGAUUGACGCUGAUGCACGAAAGCGUGGGGAUCGAACAGGAUUAGAUACCCUGGUAGUCCACGCCCUAAACGAUGAUGACUCGGUGUCGGCGAUAGAAUGCCGGCGCCCAAGCGAAAGCGUUAAGUCAUCCACCUGGGAGUACGCCCGCAAGGGUGAAACUCAAAGGAAUUGACGGGGCCCGCACAAGCGGAGGAGCAUGUGGUUAAUCGAUGAUACGCGAGGAACC
rnacentral:rRNA from 1 species